UACGUAGGGUGCAAGCGUUGUCCGGAAUUAUUGGGCGUAAAGAGCUCGUAGGUGGUUUGUCGCGUUGUUCGUGAAAUCUCACGGCUUAACUGUGAGCGUGCGGGCGAUACGGGCAGACUAGAGUACUGCAGGGGAGACUGGAAUUCCCGGUGUAGUGGUGAAAUGCGUAGAUAUCGGGAGGAACACCAGUGGCGAAGGCGGCUCUCUGGACCGUAACUGACGCUGAGGCGCGAAAGCGUGGGGAGCAAACAGG
rnacentral:rRNA from 1 species